rnacentral:rRNA from 1 species
CACGUAGGGGACGAGCGUUGUCCGGAUUCAUUGGGCGUAAAGCGCGCGUAGGCGGUCGUGCAAGUCGGUUGUGAAAUCCCGGGGCUCAACCCCGGGACUGCGUCCGAUACUGUGCGACUGGAGGCAGGUAGGGGAGAUCGGAAUUCCUGGUGUAGCGGUGAAAUGCGCAGAUAUCAGGAGGAACACCGGUGGCGAAGGCGGAUCUCUGGGCCUUGCCUGACGCUGAGGCGCGAAAGCUAGGGGAGCGAACAGG